UACGUAGGGGGCAAGCGUUGUCCGGAUUUAUUGGGCGUAAAGAGCGUGUAGGCGGCCAGACAGGUCCGUUGUGAAAACUCGAGGCUCAACCUCGAGACGCCGAUGGAAACCGUCUGGCUAGAGUCCGGAAGAGGAGAAUGGAAUUCCCGGUGUAGCGGUGAAAUGCGCAGAUAUCGGGAAGAACACCCGUGGCGAAGGCGGUUCUCUGGGACGGUACUGACGCUGAGACGCGAAAGCGUGGGGAGCAAACAGG
rnacentral:rRNA from 1 species